AGAGUUUGAUCCUGGCUCAGAAUCAACGCUGGCGGCGUGCCUCAGACAUGCAAGUCGAACGCGAAAGUUCCCUUCGGGGGGCAAGUAGAGUGGCGCACGGGUGAGUAACACGUAGGUAAUCUACCUUUGGAUGGGGAAUAACAACCGGAAACGGUUGCUAAUACCGCAUAAUGCAGCGGCACCUAAUGGUGACAGUUGUUAAAGCGGGGGAUCGAAAGACCUCGCGUCUGAAGAGGAGCCUGCGGCGGAUUAGCUAGUUGGUAGGGUAACGGCCUACCAAGGCUACGAUCCGUAGCCGGCCUGAGAGGGCGGUCGGCCACACUGACACUGACAUACGGGUCAGACUCCUACGGGAGGCAGCAGUCGGGAAUUUUGGGCAAUGGGCGAAAGCCUGACCCAGCAACGCCGCGUGAAGGAUGAAAUCCCUCGGGAUGUAAACUUCGCAAGAACGGGAAGAAUAAGUAGGGGACAAUACCCCCUAUGAUGACGGUACCGUUUGUAAGCUCCGGCUAACUCCGUGCCAGCAGCCGCGGUAAUAC
rnacentral:rRNA from 1 species